UUUUUCUUUAUAAACCAUAUAAAUAUAUUUGAAUUUUUUAAUAGACAUUACUUUAUCAAUUAAAACCAUUUUUUCAAGAUUUAUUUGAGACAGAGAGAGAAAGCACGAGCAGGAGGGACGGGGUGGGGAGAGAAUCUCAAGCAGAGUCCAAUGAACGCAGAACCCAAUGUGGUGCUCAAUCUCAUAACCUUGAGAUCACAACUUGAGCCAAAACCAAGAGUCAGACGCCUAAACAACUGCACCACCCAGGCGCCCCAAUUAAAACUAUUUUUAACAAUUAGGAGCGAAAGAUUUGAAACAAAAGGCCCAACUGCCCUCUGCUACAAUAAAGGCACAACUACCAUGCCCUAUUCCAUGUAAAGAAAGAUUUUUUUUUUCUUGAGAUUUCUAAAAUGUAUUCAUUUCAGAGACAGAGAGACAAAGACAGAGACAGAGAAAGUACAAACAGGAAGAGAGGCAGAGGGAGAAAUAGACUCCCAAAUGAGCUGGGAGUCCAACAUGGGGCUUGAUUCCAGGCCCUAGAGAUCACAACCUGAGCUGAGCUGAAGGCUGACACUUAACCAUCAGAGCCACCCAGGGUGUCUCAUAAAGCAAGAUUUUAAAGAACAUCAGAAAUGCUUAAGUAAACAAUCAAUGAAAUUGGUAUUCGACAUGUUUUCAUGUAAAUAUUGUUUUCAUUUAAACAUUUCUGGCUUUUUUAACUUCAGCUAUUCUACUAUCUGAAAAAUGGUAUCUUCCAAACACUUUUACCUCGAACAAGUAAUGUACAUGGAGAAAACAGCCUAGAACCAAGUAGCAAGAGCCUAUUAAUAGCAUCCUGACUCCAAUGAAUCAGAGCAACUCAAGAAGACCAACACGUCAAAUGAGUUGAUCUAUGGGCACCACUGAGAAGCACAGAGGAGACAAAGAAUCAAAAAAUGCUGUACAUUAUAACCUUUUAGCAAUUCUGACUUCAAGACUCCUAUGGAAACUCAGUAUAAACAUUUCAAAGGUGUAAGUCACCCAAAUAUGAACAAAUCUGCUAAGUCACAUGCUUUUAUUUUCUUCCUAACUUCAGGCAUUCUUCCCACAAACUAGAGAAAUCCAUUCUUUCCUCUCUCAAGCAAUAAUUUGGACUGACUGAACAAAAACUGGUGGUUUAAAAUUUUAAGACAAUCAAUUUGAUCAGCAUUUCAAGAAAGAGCUUUUACUCUACAUAAUGGUGCACUUAGUGGGCUGCACGCAGGGACUAUCUACAUAAUUUGUGGGGCCCAAGCAAAAUGAAAAUGCAGUGCCCCUUGUUAAAAAACUGAAGACUUUCAAGGCAGCAACAGCAAAGCAUUAACCAAGAGCAGGGCCCUUCUCAGCAAGGGGCCCCGUGUCACAGCACAAGCCGUGUACCUGCUAAGCUGGCUCUGGAUACGGGAACCAGAGCAGUAAAACCCUUUUCCAAGGUUUUUAAGUGAUAGGUUGACUGAAUGGGAUGAGGUGAAGAGAGUGCUUGAUUAAUUAGUAAGGAUUAUCUGAUAAAAUUCCUGAUCAAAUAAAUUCUCUUAAGUUUUAUUUGCUAUAGGCACAGAGAGAGAAAUGUAAUAAACAUUUUGACACAUUCAAGGAACUUGUUUGGACAACAGCUCUUUGUAUUAGAGCUGAGAUUCAAGGCCUCAAGAAAUUGAUUUCACUGUAGAACUUAAAAUUUAUUAACAAGUAGGUUUGUGUCGAGUCCAAUUUGUCUUGAAUUUUUAAAACACAAUAACAAAAGGUCACUUUUAAGGACAGGGUAACCAAUUUGCAUAAGUUGCAUGAUAAUCACAGCACCUUUCAGCUAAAUAUAACUGCAAAUGUGAAAUACAAAUUGCUAAAUCGCAAUCUCCAGCAGUACAUAUGUUUAUGGGGACACUUGAAUAGUAUGUCUCUUAGCAACCACUGACUGCUUCUCAGAUUUGCAGAGUCGUUGAAAGCAGUCUUUAGAAAUAUGCUACUAAAAACUCUUGCCACAAUAAUACACACCCAAUGAAAUAAUCCAAGGUUUGGCAACCCAGUGUGCUGAGGGGAGGGGAUCAUUAAAAAAAAAAAAAAAAAAAAAAA
rnacentral:lncRNA from 1 species